UACGUAGGUGGCAAGCGUUGUCCGGAUUUAUUGGGUUUAAAGGGUGCGUAGGUGGUCAAUUAAGUCAGCGCUGAAAUAUCCCGGCUUAACCGGGAGGGUGGCAUUGAUACUGAUUGACUUGAGUGGAGUUGAGGUAGGCGGAAUUGACGGUGUAGCGGUGAAAUGCUUAGAUAUCGUCAAGAACACCGAUAGCGAAGGCAGCUUACCAAGCUCAAACUGACACUGAUGCACGAAAGUGUGGGGAUCAAACAGG
rnacentral:rRNA from 1 species